UACGAAGGGUGCUAGCGUUGUUCGGAAUUACUGGGCGUAAAGCGCGCGCAGGCGGUCUUCCAAGUCAGUGGUGAAAGCCCGGAGCUCAACUCCGGAACUGCCAUUGAAACUGUAAGACUUGAGGAUGAGAGAGGUGAGUGGAAUUCCCAGUGUAGAGGUGAAAUUCGUAGAUAUUGGGAAGAACACCGGUGGCGAAGGCGGCUCACUGGCUCAUAUCUGACGCUCAGGCGCGACAGCGUGGGGAUCAAACAGG
rnacentral:rRNA from 1 species